rnacentral:misc_RNA from 1 species
GCAAACUUGGUCAUUUAGAGGAAGUAAAAGUCGUAACAAGGUCUCCGUUGGUGAACCAGCGGAGGGAUCAUUAAAGAGUCUAAAAAACUCCCAAAACCCCUGUGUACCUUACCUGUAUCGUUGCUUCGGCGGGCCUCACCGCCCGCCGAAGGUACCCAAACUCGAUGUUUUUAUAGUGUAUCUCUGAGCCACAAAAGCAAAACAAGUCAAAACUUUCAACAACGGAUCUCUUGGUUCUGGCAUCGAUGAAGAACGCAGC